rnacentral:rRNA from 1 species
GACGAACGCUGGCGGCGUGCUUAACACAUGCAAGUCGAACGGAAAGGCCCUGCUUGCAGGGUACUCGAGUGGCGAACGGGUGAGUAACACGUGGGUGAUCUGCCCUGCACUUCGGGAUAAGCCUGGGAAACUGGGUCUAAUACCGGAUAGGAGCCAUUUUUAGUGUGAUGGUUGGAAAGUUUUUUCGGUGUAGGAUGAGCUCGCGGCCUAUCAGCUUGUUGGUGGGGUAAUGGCCUACCAAGGCGGCGACGGGUAGCCGGCCUGCGAGGGUGGACGGCCACAUUGGGACUGAGAUACGGCCCAGACUCCUACGGGAGGCAGGAGGGGGGAAUAUUGCACAAUGGGCGCAAGCCUGAUGCAGCGACGCCGCGUGGGGGAUGACGGCCUUCGGGUUGUAAACUCCUUUCGCUAGGGACGAAGCUUUUUGUGACGGUACCUAGAUAAGAAGCACCGGCUAACUACGUG